GUUCUUUAGACAUUAAAAGCUUCUAACAUGAUAUGGAAUCCAAGAUUCCGAUAUCAUGUUAGAAGCUUUUUUGUU
rnacentral:sRNA from 2 species